AUUGAACGCUGGCGGCAUGCUUUACACAUGCAAGUCGGACGAGUGGCGAACGGGUGAGUAACGCAUCGGAACGUACCGAGUAAUGGGGGAUAACUGUCCGAAAGGACAGCUAAUACCGCAUAUUAGUCGAGCGGCCGAUGUCUGAUUAGCUGGUUGGCGGGGUAAAGGCCCACCAAGGAGACGAUCAGUAGGGGGUCUGAGAGGAUGAUCCGCCACACUGGUCCUUAGACACGGCCCAGACUCCGUAGGGAGGCAGCAGGGGGGAAUUUUGGACAAUGUGCGCAAUCCUGGUCCAGCCAUUCCGCGUGUCUGAAGAAGGCCUUCAGGUUGUAAAGGUCUUUUGUCAGGGAAGCGGUACCUGAAGAAUAAGCACCGGCUAACUACGUGCCAGCAGCCGCGGUAAUUC
rnacentral:rRNA from 1 species